CCUACGGGAGGCAGCAGUGAGGAAUAUUGGUCAAUGGCCGAGAGGCUGAACCAGCCAAGUCGCGUGAGGGAAGACGGCCCUACGGGUUGUAAACCUCUUUUGUCGGGGAGCAAAGCGAGUCACGUGUGACGCAUUGAGAGUACCCGAAGAACAAACAUCGGCUAACUCCGUGCCAGCAGCCGCGGUACUACGGAGGAUGCGAGCGUUAUCCGGAUUUAGUGGGUUAAAAGGGUGCGCGGGCGGAGGAGCAAGUCAGCGGUCAAAUUGCGGGGCUCAACCCCGUACUGCAGUUGAAACUGCAUCCCUUGAGUGCGCGAGAAGUAUGCGGAAUUCGUGGUGUAGCGGUGGAAUGCUUAGAUAUCACGAAGAACUCCGAUGACGAAGGCAGCUUACUAAACUGCCACUGACGUUGAUGCUCGAAAGUGUGGGUAUCAAACAGGAUUAGAUACCCGAGUAGUC
rnacentral:rRNA from 1 species